rnacentral:rRNA from 1 species
CAAGUCGAACGCGAAAGCUCCCUUCGGGGUGCAAGUAGAGUGGCGCACGGGUGAGUAACACGUAGGUAAUCUACCUUUGGAUUGGGAAUAACCACCGGAAACGGUGGCUAAUACCGAAUAAUGCAGCGGCACCUAAUGGUGACAGUUGUUAAAGCGGGGGAUCGAAAGACCUCGCGUCUGAAGAGGAGCCUGCGGCAGAUUAGCUAGUUGGUAAGGUAACGGCUUACCAAGGCGAUGAUCUGUAGCCGGCCUGAGAGGGCGGUCGGCCACACUGACACUGACAUACGGGUCAGACUCCUACGGGAGGCAGCAGUCGGGAAUUUUGGGCAAUGGGCGAAAGCCUGACCCAGCAACGCCGCGUGAAGGAUGAAAUCCUUCGGGAUGUAGACUUCGCAAGAACGGGAAGAAUAAGUAAGGGUUAAUAUCUCUUACGAUGACGGUACUGUUUGUAAGCUCCGGCUAACUCCGUGCCAGCAGCCGCGGUAAUACGGGGGGAGCAAGCGUUGUUCGGAUUUACUGGGCGUAAAGGGCGCGUAGGCGGCCACCGCAAGUCGACUGUGAAAUCUCCGGGCUUAACCCGGAAAGGUCAGCCGAUACUGCGGGGCUAGAGUGCAGAAGGGGCAACUGGAAUUCUCGGUGUAGCGGUGAAAUGCGUAGAUAUCGAGAGGAACACCUGCGGCGAAGGCGGGUUGCUGGGCUGACACUGACGCUGAGGCGCGAAAGCUAGGGGAGCGAACGGGAUUAGAUACCCCGGUAGUCCUAGCCUUAAACGAUGAAUGCUUGGUGUCUGGGGUUUUAUAGUCCCCGGGUGCCGUCGCUAACGCUUUUAAGCAUUCCGCCUGGGGAGUACGGUCGCAAGACUGAAACUCCAAAGGAAUUGACGGGGACCCGCACAAGCCGGUGGA